CGUAGGUGGCGAGCGUUGUCCGGAAUUACUGGGUGUAAAGGGCGUGUAGGCGGGAAUGCAAGUCAGAUGUGAAGUGCCGAGGCUUAACCUCGGAGCUGCAUCUGAAACUGUGUUUCUUGAGUGUCGGAGAGGAAAGUGGAAUUCCCAGUGUAGCGGUGAAAUGCGUAGAUAUUGGGAGGAACACCAGUGGCGAAGGCGACUUUCUGGACGAUAACUGACGCUGAGGCGCGAAAGCGUGGGGAGCAAACAGGAUUAGAUACCCUGGUAGUCCACGCCGUAAACGAUGGAUACUAGGUGUAGGGGGUAUCGACCCCCCCUGUGCCGCAGUUAACACAAUAAGUAUCCCACCUGGGGAGUACGGCCGCAAGGUUG
rnacentral:rRNA from 1 species